rnacentral:rRNA from 1 species
GUGGGGAAUAUUGGGCAAUGGGGGAAACCCUGACCCAGCGACGCCGCGUGAGGGAAGAAGGCCUUAGGGUCGUAAACCUCUGUUGUGUGGGAAGAAGAGCGUGACGGUACCACACGAGGAAGUCCCGGCUAACUACGUGCCAGCAGCCGCGGUAAUACGUAGGGGACGAGCGUUGUCCGGAUUUACUGGGCGUAAAGGGCGCGUAGGCGGUCAUUUAAGUCAGCUGUGAAAUGGUUUGGCUUAACCGGAUCAUGUGGUUGAAACUGGAUGACUGGAGUGCUGGAGAGGCAAGUGGAAUUCCCAGUGUAGCGGUGAAAUGCGUAGAUAUUGGGAAGAACACCGGUGGCGAAGGCGACUUGCUGGCCAGCAACUGACGCUGAGGCGCGAAAGCCAGGGGAGCAAACGGGAUUAGAAACCCUGGUAGUCC